UUAAAAAUAAAAAAAUGGGGGCUGGGAAUAUGGCCUAGUGGUAAAGUGCUCAGUGCUUGCCUCGUAUACAUGAAGCCCUGGGUUCGAUUCCCCAGCACCACAUAUAUAGAAAAUGGCCACAAGUGGCACUGUGGCUCAAGUGGCAGAGUGCUAGCCUUGAGCAAAAA